GUAGGUGGCAAGCGUUGUCCGGAAUUAUUGGGCGUAAAGCGCGCGCAGGCGGUUCUUUAAGUCUGAUGUGAAAGCCCACGGCUCAACCGUGGAGGGUCAUUGGAAACUGGAGAACUUGAGUACAGAAGAGGAAAGCGGAAUUCCACGUGUAGCGGUGAAAUGCGUAGAGAUGUGGAGGAACACCAGUGGCGAAGGCGGCUUUCUGGUCUGUAACUGGCGCUGAGGCGCGAAAGCGUGGGGAGCAAACAGGGAUUAGAUACCCUGGUAGUCCACGCCGUAAACGAUGAGUGCUAAGUGUUAGGGGGUUUCCGCCCCCCUUAGUGCUGCAGCUAACGCAUUAAGCACUCCGCCUGGGGAGUACGGCCGCAAGGCUG
rnacentral:rRNA from 1 species